CUAUCAGGGGUGGGUCGGGGCAUCCGAGCGGGUUUGACGGAAGGAGCGGCGGCGACGGAGGAGGAGGAUGGAGGCGGUGGUGUUCGUCUUCUCUCUCCUCGAUUGUUGCGCGCUCAUCUUCCUCUCGGUCUACUUCAUAAUUACAUUGUCUGAUUUAGAAUGUGAUUACAUUAAUGCUAGAUCAUGUUGCUCAAAAUUAAACAAGUGGGUAAUUCCAGAAUUGAUUGGCCAUACCAUUGUCACUGUAUUACUGCUCAUGUCAUUGCACUGGUUCAUCUUCCUUCUCAACUUACCUGUUGCCACUUGGAAUAUAUAUCGUGGUAGCAACUGCCCUUGCUAAUCACCGUAACCUCGGCUGAGAAAGAAGAGGAAGCGAAAUCCAAGAUGCAGCUCAGUUCAUCAAAGCCUAGCAGGUCCCCUCAGCUGCCUUUUCAUGCCUGCCACAGACUACAGUAGGACAAAACCUGACCUGGUCUUUGAAGUUAAGAGCUAAGAAAGCUUCCUAUAGUAGUAUCUCCCAUGGCACUUACCACAUUCUAUCUGGUAUUACAGUUAUUUGUAUGCAAUUAAUCACUCUUAGAUUGUAUGUUCCUGGAGGGCAGAAUAUGCCCAUUCAUAUUUGUAUCUUCUUCCUUCUGCUCUUGGCACCUAACACAGUGCCUUGCACACAAACAAUAAAUGAUUGUUGAGUGAAUAAGUAAA
rnacentral:lncRNA from 1 species